UUUAAGGUGUGUCCCCAACCAUCACCUUGGGAAGGCAGCGGAACCUUGCUCAUGAUGAAGAGGAUCACCUCGGAGCGCUGAGCCGGUGGCGGCGAUGACGGCAGCUUCCGACAGGACCUCCACGAUGCCCGCCCGCACCGUGG